CGACGCCUUCGCUGGGCUCGGGUGGGGGGGCUGCGACGGCCCAGGCCUCCCCGGCCGGAAAGGGAGAGCACUGCACGCCGCGAUCCCGAAAAGGCCGGGAAGGAAACGGAAGGGGUCACUCCCAGCCAAGCUCAGAGGACCGUGUGGUGCCAGGAAUUGAACCUGGGGCCCCCGCUGCAAAGCAUGCACUCAGCGCCUUGAGCCUGGCUCCCAGCCCCGCAGGGAUUCCUUAGACCAGGGCCUGACCUGUAGAAAGUGGCUCUGCCAGCUGCCUCAGUUGUCAUCCCCGUGGCGGUCAUUAUGCACUCUCCACUCUCCACUCGGGCCGGUCCAGGGUGCUCCAUGGCCACUGAGUGGCUCUCUGCUUUCAUGAUCCCAGCCAGAUGUUGAAUGGCUUUAUCUGUGCUCUCCAAACAUCUUGUUCAGGCCUCUGCGAGGGAACCACCACGCUCUGCUCUCAAUAGGCCUUUGUGUCAGGCCUCUCUCCUCGCUGCCAGCCUGUCUGAAAAGACAUCGCUUGCACUGUGCAACCGACUGGGAACAUUUCAGCAGGGAGAGGACAGCCAGGACCAAAAAGUAUAGGUGGUGUGGAAGGAGUCGAGGGCAACACUCAGAGCCCGAAGGGUGAUGGCCCACCUCUGGGGGAAGGGCUGGGAGCCGGCAGCAAACCCUGAGUGGGCAGCUAGCCUGGCUCCCCAGGACCCAGGAUCCGAAAAAAGUGGACCGUACGGGAUGUCAGGGAUGGAACCCAGGUUAGCUGCAUGCAAGACACGCUCUUUCUCUCCAGCCCCUCAUGCAGGCUUCGAUCUAGUCAACCGAUCCCAGUGGGAAACGCGAUGGUGAAUAACACACGAUUUCAAGUCCAUGGAGAGUCAGAGAUCUCUGAAAAGAAACACAAGGAAGAGAUACGCAUGUCAGUUCUGUGCAGAGACGAGGAAGCUCUCGGAAUGCAAGUUCGAGACACAGCUUCUCAACAGCGGGGGAAGACAAGGUUACCACCAAGAUGCCCUUUGGGUAGGAGGUGGUGAAUUGGGUAAACAAGCUAAACCUUGUUUAACUGUUACGACUCUGAAAAAGAGCCCGGGAGGCGGGCAGAGGGGAGUAUACUGUGAUUCUUGGUGGUGGAAUAUGUGCACUGUUGAAGGGAUGGGUGUUCGAGCAUUGUAUAACUGAGA